rnacentral:rRNA from 1 species
GGGCAUGAUGAUUCCAUUAAAGCACGCGUUGUUCCUGGUCUUCCAAAUUGACCAAACUACAGCAGCUACUCCACAAGCUACAAGCCCUCUACUACUAACAGGGAGCUUACUAAUCCAGACAGGGAUAUCAUAAAAAACACUAGGUAUCUCUUGCAAACUAAACGUACAUUUGAUCACAUGCCAAACAUAUCUGGCAACAGGGCACAAGAAGAACAAGUGAUCUAUCCCUUCUCUAGUAUUACAAAAUAUGCAAUUUGCACUUCCUUUCCAUCCCCGGUGCAAUAAGAUAUCUUUGGUCAGUAUACUUUUUUCAGUAACUAGCUACAAGAAGACUUUAAUCUUAAGGACAGUAUAACUAAGAUUGCCCUCAUAUUUACAUCAUGGCCGAUCUUGCCCGAAUUAUGUUUAGUAUCUUGCUCUGAUCCGUAUUACUAGUCAUUAAUGACAGUACAAGAAAGAUGGCCAAUGAAGAAUUGCUGAGGGAUAAGCUUGAUAGUUAUUGGCAGGCCUUAUAAAAACAUUGAUCUACUAAUUAGUGAACCUUUUAAGAAUAUAUGUACUUUAUAAUAAUACAUUUUCGUUUACGCGAUGUUAACUUCUCCCUUCGUUCCUAAAUAUAUGUCUUUUUAGAGAUUCCACUAUGGACUACAUACGGAGCAAAAAAUGAGUGAAUCUACAUUCUAAAAUAUGUCUAUAUACAUCCGUACGUAGUCCAUAUUGAAAACUCUAAAAAGACAUAUAUUUAGAAACGGAGGGAGUAUUAUCCAGAAAAUUUGAUUUUGCAACACUAUGCUUGGAUAGUUUGUAGUAGCGUUAUUUGCAUGUAUGCUCUCACUUGUGCCUAGUCACAUCUCCUCCUCCAAAAUCUGGUAUCUCUAUCAAAAUAGGGCUUGUCCAGUAGACCAGUACCCCCAAGCCACUGUGGCAGCAGCAGCGGUGAGGUGAGGAAGGUGAGAAGGGUUAUCCUUUUCUUCCGAUCCGUCUUCUUCUGUAUUUCUGUUGUUUUGUGUGGUUCUAAUAAUGCAAGCAUAUCUCACAUGUAAAUUCCUUUCUUGGUAGGCGGUUAUAAGCAUGGAGCCCAAAGAGAAGUCCGAAACGACCAGCGCUGCCAGCCCACCUCCACCGCGGCUGGACUGCAUAAAGUGCUUCGAUGCGCUAUGGUUCUGCUAUACCCCUUUCCACCAGCUGCAGACCUACUACCGCCAUGGGGAUUUUGACACCUGCUUCGGCAAGUGGGGCGACCUCGUUGACUGUCUCUCGCUCAAGACGAAGCGGAGGGCGGAGGUAGAGGAGAUCCUCAUCGCGCGGGAGAAGGCCAAGCCGCACAUCUGGACCUUCCGGACUGUCGAAGAGGCGCAGGCGAACUGGUGGCAGAUGUACAAGCACAAGGUGGUGAUGUCGUCGCCACCCAAGACUGUAGGUUCUGCUGCGCCUCCUCCUGGAUCAUCUGGUGCUCUUUCCUGAGAAUUGAAGGUCGGGGGAGCCUACAGAAGCGUCGAUUGCGCUUUUGUGCGCCGUGCUUGGACCGCUGGUCUUUGUUCAGACUUGAAUGUACCCUGGCAGGGUAAAUAAUUGGAACCUUGGAUGGAAAGAUACCUUGAUCCUGUUCUGUAGAUCAUGGCAGGCAACUGAACCAAGAUGUUCUGGUGGAUUGCUCUUUUGCUAUUUUUUGCACAAGCUCUGAUGCUAGCUUUUUUGCUUAGUUGCUUAUCAGGCAUAAAUGUUCUCCCUCCUGGUUCUUCAAGCAAUUGUUAUCUGAAUAUCACACCUGCAGCAAUGCUGCUUUUGUUAUCUGAAUAUCAC